rnacentral:rRNA from 1 species
CUACGGGCGGCAGCAGUGGGGAAUAUUGGACAAUGGGGGAAACCCUGAUCCAGCAAUGCCGCGUGUGUGAAGAAGGCCUGCGGGUUGUAAAGCACUUUCGGUUGGGAGGACUGCUUCUAGCACUAAUAUUGUUGGAAGUUGACGUUACCUUCAGAAGAAGCACCGGCUAACUCCGUGCCAGCAGCCGCGGUAAUACGGAGGGUGCAUGCGUUAAUCGGAAUUACUGGGCGUAAAGCGUGCGUAGGUGGCUAGAUCAGUCGGGUGUGAAAGCCCCGGGCUUAACCUGGGAACUGCAUCCGAUACUGUCUAGCUUGAGUACAGGAGAGGAGAGUGGAAUUCCACAUGUAGCGGUGAAAUGCGUAGAUAUGUGGAGGAACACCAAUGGCGAAGGCAGCUCUCUGGCCUGAUACUGACGCUGAGGUGCGAAAGCGUGGGGAGCAAACAGGAUUAGAUACCCGGGUAGUC